UGGGGAAUAUUGGACAAUGGGCGAAAGCCUGAUCCAGCAAUACCGCGUGUGUGAAGAAGGCCUUCGGGUUGUAAAGCACUUUAAGUUGGGAAGAAAAAACUUUACCUAAUACGUGAAGUCUUGACGGUACCGACAGAAUAAGCACCGGCUAACUCUGUGCCAGCAGCCGCGGUAAUACAGAGGGUGCUAGCGUUAAUCGGAUUUACUGGGCGUAAAGCGUGCGUAGGUGUUUUGAUAAGUCGGUUGUGAAAGCCCCGGGCUCAACCUGGGAAUUGCGGCCGAUACUGUCAGACUCGAAAACGGUAGAGGGAGGUGGAACUCCAGGUGUAGCGGUGAAAUGCGUAGAUAUCUGGAAGAACAUCGAUGGCGAAGGCAGCCUCCUGGGCCUGUUUUGACACUGAGGCACGAAAGCGUGGGUAGCAAACA
rnacentral:rRNA from 1 species